GGAGUCCUACGGGAGGCAGCAGUGGGACAGUUGGCUCAGAACGAAGGCUGGCGGCUGGCUCAGAACGAACGCUGGCGGCUGGCUCAGAACGAACGCUGGCGGCGUGCCUAACACAUGCAAGUCGAGCGAGAAAGCCCGUAAGGGUGAGGACAGCGGCGCAGGGGUGCGUAACACGUGGGUAAUCUGCCUCGAAGUCUGGAAUAACUCUCCGAAAGGGGUGCUAAUGCCUGAUGCUGACCACGGGGGCUUCGGCUCCCGAGGGAAAAGAUGGCCUCUGCAGGCAAGCUAUCGCUUCGAGAUGAGCCCGCGGCCCAUCAGCUCGUUGGCGGGGUAAUGGCCCACCAAGGCGGCGACGGGUAGCUGGUCUGAGAGGACGAUCAGCCACACUGGAACUGAGACACUGUCCAGAGUCCUACGGGAGGCAGCAGUGGAUCUGAAGAUAAAC
rnacentral:sRNA from 1 species